rnacentral:rRNA from 1 species
UACGUAGGGUGCAAGCGUUUGUCCGGAAUUAUUGGGCGUAAAGAGCUCGUAGGCGGUCUGUCGCGUCGGCUGUGAAAUCCCGGAGCUCAACUCCGGGUCUGCAGUCGAUACGGGCAAACUGGAGUACUGCAGGGGAGACUGGAAUUCCUGGUGUAGCGGUGAAAUGCGCAGAUAUCAGGAGGAACACCGGUGGCGAAGGCGGGUCUCUGGGCAGUAACUGACGCUGGAGGAGCGAAAGCGUGGGGAGCGAACAGG